rnacentral:rRNA from 1 species
UACGGGGGGGUGCGAGCGUUGUCCGGAAUUACUGGGCGUAAAGGGCGCGCAGGCGGCUCUUCAAGUCAGGCGUGAAAGCCCCGGGCUUAACCUGGGAAUUGCGCUUGGGACUGGAGGGCUUGAGUACGGGAGGAGGAGAGUGGAAUUCCCAGUGUAGAGGUGAAAUUCGUAGAUAUUGGGAAAGAACACCGGGUGGCGAAGGCGGCUCUCUGGACCGUAACUGACGCUGAGGCGCGAAAAGCGUGGGGGAGCAAACAGG